rnacentral:rRNA from 1 species
UACGUAGGUGGCAAGCGUUGUCCGGAUUUACUGGGUGUAAAGGGCGUGCAGCCGGAGAGACAAGUCAGAUGUGAAAUCCACGGGCUCAACCCGUGAACUGCAUUUGAAACUGUUUCCCUUGAGUGUCGGAGAGGUAAUCGGAAUUCCUUGUGUAGCGGUGAAAUGCGUAGAUAUAAGGAAGAACACCAGUGGCGAAGGCGGAUCACUGGACGAUAACUGACGGUGAGGCGCGAAAGCGUGGGGAGCAAACAGG